rnacentral:rRNA from 1 species
GACGAACGCUGGCGGCGUGCUUAACACAUGCAAGUCGAACGGAAAGGCCCCUUCGGGGGUUCUCGAGUGGUGAACAGGUGCGUAACACGUGAGUAACCUGCCCUUGACUUCGGGAUAACUUCAGGAAACUGGGGCUAAUACCGGAUAGGAAUCCUUUCUUCAUGGUGGGGGUUGGAAAGCUUCGGCGGGUUUGGAUGGACUCGCUGCUUAUCAGCUUGCUGGUUGGGUAGUGGCUUACCAAGGCUUCGUCGGGUAGCCAGCCUGUGUGGGCGACCGGCCACAUUGGGACUGAGGGACGGCCCAGACUCCUACUGGAGGGAGAAGUGGGGAAUAUUGCACAAUGGGCGGCAGGCUGAUGAAGCAACGCCGCGGGCGGGAUGACGGCCUUAGGGGUGUAAACCGCUUUCAGCAGGGGCGGAGCUUGUGGUGACGGUACCUGCAGAAGAAGCACCGGCUAACUACGUG